GGCAAAUGCAGUUUUUGGCUUAUAUCUCAAAAACUUUUUAAAGCAUUUAGAGCAAAUCUGACACGCGGUAAAAAUGUUCAAUAUGUCAAAAUUUAUCUCCCCUGAAAUUUUCAGACGAACCAAACAACCCGUUGUUAAGUUGCUGCCACUGAAUUGGUAAUUUUAACGGAAUUUUGCAGUAUUUGGUGAUUAUCUUGAAUUUUCUUGAAGAUAAAGGUAUAUUGUUAACAGCAAAUUGUUCAGCAAAGUACGAUCUACGAACAAUUUCAAUGACCAAAAUUGUCAAUUGACCUCUUAAGUAGUUAUUGGCCUUUCAAAACAUUUUUCACACGUUGUUCAUCUAGUUUUCUUGCCUCUCUUUUUUAAAAAAUCUUCUGUUUUUUUGAAACUGCUGAAUUUUUUUUGAGCCAAACUUGGGCUGAAUGAGUUUCAGAGUAUCUAGUAUAAAUUUUGUAUUUUAUUUCCUUGUACGUCACGAAACAUAGCCACUGUGGCUGUAAUAGAAUAUUGAUGUAAAAUACAUAUUUUUGCUAUUGAAGUAAAUA
rnacentral:lncRNA from 1 species